ensembl:lncRNA
CCGCAGUUGCAUGGCUUGGUCAAAUGUGCGGCCUAUUCGAGAAGGCAUCCUGAUUGAGAGGUCGUCCCGAUCGAGAGGUCGUCCCGAUCGAGAGGUCGUCCCGAUCGAGAGGUCGUCCCGAUCGAGAAGGCGUCCCGAUCAAGAAGGCGUCCUGAUCGAGAAGUCGUCCUGAUCGAGAAGGCGUCCUGAUCGAGAAGGCGUCCUGAUCGAGAAGGCGUCCUGAUCGAGAAGUCGUCCUGAUCGAGAAAGCAUCCUGAUCAAGAGGUCAUCCCGAUCGAGAAGUCGCCCUGAUCGAGAAGUCGUCCUGAUCAAGAAGGCGUCCUGAUCGAGAAGUCGUCCUGAUCGAGAAAGCAUCCUGAUCAAGAGGUCAUCCCGAUCGAGAAGUCGCCCUGAUCGAGAAGUCAUCCCGAUCGAGAGGUCGUCCCGAUAGAGAGGUCGUCCCGAUCGAGAGAUCGCCCCGAUCGAGACGUCAUCCCGAUCGAGAGGUCGUCCCGAUAGAGAGGUCGUCCCGAUCGAGAGGUCGUCCCGAUCGAGAGGUCGUCCUGAUCAAACAGCCCACCGACAGCUUGAGUAGUUUAAAACAGCAGCUAAUAACUGUUGCUAUUUUUUGUGCUAUUUUAUGUCCAUGAUUAGAAGAAUUAUAUUCCACACCCCAGACAGUCUGAACUGAAGCGCACCGGACCCUGAGCCCGAGUGACCCUGAACAGGACUCACUGAGAAAUUACCGACUCAGCUGACCCUCUGAACAGAAGACGAGCAAGUCGUCAUGCGUGGUACUGACCGCUGGGGAUUUUUU